UACGAAGGGGGCUAGCGUUGUUCGGGAUCACUGGGCGUAAAGCGCACGUAGGCGGAUCUUUAAGUCAGGGGUGAAAUCCCGAGGCUCAACCUCGGAACUGCCUUUGAUACUGGGGAUCUCGAGUCCGGGAGAGGUGAGUGGAACUGCGAGUGUAGAGGUGAAAUUCGUAGAUAUUCGCAAGAACACCGGUGGCGAAGGCGGCCCACUGGUCCGGUACUGACGCUGAGGUGCGAAAGCGUGGGGAGCGAACAGG
rnacentral:rRNA from 1 species